rnacentral:rRNA from 1 species
AGAAUCAACGCUGGCGGCGUGCCUAACACAUGCAAGUCGAACAAGAAAGUGGAGCAAUCCAUGAGUAAAGUGGCGCACGGGUGAGUAACACGUGACUAACCUACCCUUGAGUGGGGGAUAACCUAGAGAAAUCUGGGCUAAUACCGCAUAAUACCUUCGGGUCAAAGGAGCAAUUCGCUUAAGGAGGGGGUCGCGGCCGAUUAGUUAGUUGGCGGGGUAAUGGCCCACCAAGACUAUGAUCGGUA